GUCGGACGGAUCAAAAAGCCGUGGAUAUGGAACUAGAGGCGUUCGUACUUCGUAGCUUCAGUGGCUAUCAGAGUCUGCAGCUUGUGUUCUUUUUUUGCUUUCCUGAGGGGAUGCAGCUUGUGUGCUGGCCGGAGUGUAUUGAAUGGUUAUAAUGCAACUACCGAACUAGGUAUACCUAUUUGUGCUUAUGUGAUCUGCGGAAACUUGCAUUCGUACUAUGAAUCGGCCAGCCUACCUACAACAUUCAGAUGUUGUAUCUGCUCGUUUCGAGAAUAGAGAUAUCUAUGGAGCUUGGAAACAGUGUCUUGGGUUGGAGUGGACUGAUACUGCAAUAAAACGGCCUAUACAGCCCAGUAAGUAUGCAGUGGUCUUGCUGGGAGGUGAACAUAUCUAACUUUCGGAUGCCAAGUUUUACCUUUACCCAUGCUUGGGCUUAGAUAUGUCGUACCCAUGCUUUGUUUUCUAUGUACCAGAGCUUCAAUUGCCUUUACAAGAUUUUCUGUAGGCUUUGCGUUUUUUCAGACAGUAAUGAAAUCUUACUUUUUGUUUAGAGAUAUGUAUCUCAAUAAAACUUUGCUCUGUUAUCGUGGUUUUAUGUACCUGCAGUCUGUAGAACAUCACACGGAUGAGAAGACAGUGACUUCAAACAAAAGGGAGCAGCGUCGAUGGUCGCAGGCACCAAUGGAGAUCGAGGUUGAUUAUAUAACUGGAUGCAUAUCCAUAAAUCAGAGGAUAAGCAGCGGAAGGGAAAGUUGUAUUUGUCGAGAUGUUCUCUUCUUUUUUAUUUUACAUGUUAAAGCAUGGACCUUCUUGCUCAGGUUUCAGAUUUCUCAAUCCAUACUUCCAUGCAAAUAUCAAUUCUUGACUCGUUAUUCAGUAACCUCGCACAUGUCCAUUUUCUCUCUAUAUCGUCAGUAUUAAACUUCAUACGUAAUUCCUUAUAUUCUUAGGUUUAGAACAUUGCAAAUCAGGGUGGGCGGUGCAUUUGGAAAGUUCAUAUUCUAUUCAAAAGCAUUUCAUCGAUAGUCAAAUGCUUCACAGUAGAAUAUGCUACCUCAUUUUUUUGGUGUCCUAAGGUUCAUAUUUCGCUGCGCUAUCUAAAGCAGCAUGUUUUAUUGUUUUAGUUAGCAUUGCACUAAUUGAAGACCACAAAAAAUACACACGGGCACCCUUAAAGAACCCAAUAUUGUAUGUAGAUGUCCAUCUGUACAUAAUAUGUGGCCCAUAGAAUGUGAUAUGAUCUUUUAUCUCGGAACCAAUUUAUUUAGCGAGGCCGACGAUUUGACUGUAACAUUAUUUCUCCUUUGAUUGAAUACUGCAUCUUUUUAGCAAUGCGUGUCAUCGAAGCCAGUGGGAAAAUAUGUUGUGUCUUAAGAUAAUUAUAACAUAACUGAAUAUAUCAAGCAUGCUAAUGGCAUUAGAUUAACUUUCGAGGAAUAUGACAGAAGGUUUAACCUUUAAUGUUUUAGGCUUUCCUGAUUUUCUGGCACCUUAGUAGGAGACGAUGACCGCUAUCAUGAAUAGGUUUAAAUGUCGCAUGGCUUCCAUUGAACAAAACCAAGAUAGAAAACAACUGUGCAUAAACUUAUAACAUAAACUGCUGCUGCUUUGUUGGUUUUAUCGAGGAUGUUUUCUUCAAGCAUGUGCUAAUCACACGCUAUCUUUUUUCACUUUCAUUAUUCCUCCGGCUCAAGUGAUAGCCACAUUAUGAAAGGAGCGAGGUUUGACAACCUGAUCUACAACAGCGACAAUCCAGGUAUGUACAUAUGUACUAAGCAGCACCGCCAUUGUCUCUAAAUUGUGUUGAUGACAUGUGUACUAAGUUAAAUAUUACAUAGUGUGUCUGCAAGCAAUCCAUCACAGCGUGCUAUUACAUAGUGUGUAAAUCCCUCUGCAACUUCUCUGGUCUUGUGUUCAGCUCUACUUAUAAAGCCUUGUGAAGGAGAAAUAUCAUCUAUCAUGUAUUUCUGUGUUGACAGCCAGUUGCUUAAUUGAUCAACUAUAGUAUAAAGAAAUGUAUUAGAAGAGCAUAAAGGUAAAUAUAUACAAGUAGAUGUUGAAAUAUAAUUUAGUAUACCAUUAUGAAAGGUAUAUACCUGUACAUAGCUCAAAGGGCCAAUACUUCUGUUCCUCCAUUAGAUGGUCUUUAGUAGAACUGAAUGAAAGAGUUAAUAGGUUGCUUAUUGAUUUGCUUAUAAUUAAGUAGGAAAAUUAAAGUAUUCUGUUUGUAUUGGCUCGGUUAAUAUUUUUUGUCUUGGUCAUUGUUGUAGUAAAGUAAAUUAAUAUAAGUGCAUGGCGAAGGUAUUGUAAGGAUAGUUUGGUGUGGGUUGUAUAAAAUUUGUUAUGCCAUCUGCUCUAUUUUUUUAUUUGUACGCAUAUGAUCAAACAGGUCAUCUCCAUGACGAAAAUUGGGAAGAUCUACUCUGUUAAAAAAUUUGUAGGCAUAACAUCAAACAAGUUAUGUGCAUUACAAAAUUAGCAAAGCAAGCAAAACUUGGGAACUAUUUAGUUGAGUUUACCAGACAUAGUUUAAUUCCCGUGAAAAAUACAUGCUUUCGAGCCUAAUCACCGAGACCGAAUAAAAUAUUUGCAUAGCAAAACGAAAGAGCAGGAGAAAGCAAGGUGUGGGCAAUUAGCAUGAAGAAGAUAAUUGUAACUCACCUAUGCUUUUCUUGAUCGAUUAGUAUGCUGAUCUUCAAAUCUUAGGUGGAGCUGUAGAACAAUCACUUGAUUCUGUUCUUUAAGUUGGAGCUUAUGAAUUCUGUUCAUAUGAACUUCGCCCUAUAGUAAGCCCUUUAGCUAAUGCCAAGUCCGUUUAAACUUGCCUAUUGUCCACUAGGUGUAUCUGCUUGAUCAAUUGACUGUUGUAUUUGCUAAAAACAUGUGUGAUUGUUUCCAUCACAAUUUACAAUUAAAAUCAGUAAUUUUCAUGUACCUAUCAUUGAUCAAGUAAAAUCUGGAAAACCUGGGCUUUCUUUUUUCUAUUGCCAGUGUUAUAUACUUAUUCGGUGCCUACUGUCCUCUAUACCUGUUGAUUCCCUGUUUUCAUAACCUGAUAUUUUCAUUUAAAGAAAAGAAUGGUUGUACCUUUUUUUUAAGAAUGAUUGUACCCUAUAUUUGCUUCCCAUAACCUGAUCUCAUAAAUACUACAACAUCAAGGGUGAGAAAAUGAAUACAUGUUGAUCCCCUGUUUUCAUAACCUGGUAUUUACAUUUAAAGAAAGAAGUGAGACCUUCAGGGUCGCGAUCCAAGAGGGGUGGAGAUUUGUUCUGGCCGACAACCCACAGCGACAAGUGUGGCGCCGUUCACGGUGGCGCUUGUUCAGAGGCUCACAACACAGCUGGCUUUCUCUUGGAUCUUGGCUUAGUGGAGACCAUUUCUUCUCCUCUCCGGCGACGGCAGUGGUUGAAGUUUUUAGUCAAUGUGUUGGUGGUUGGAGGUUUGAAGAAGAAUUUUUCUGUAAAUUUCCUUUUUUCGGAGUGUUUCCUGUACUUUCUCUUGGUGUGCUAUUCCUUUGGAUUUCUCCAGAGAUAUGCUACAUUUGCUGUAAUUUGCUGAUAUUAUUAGUAUAAGUGUGGCACUUCUCCUAAAAAACGAGUGAUUGUACCUUAGGUUUAAAGAAAACAAUGAUUGUACCUUAUAUUUGCUUCAAUAACCUGAUCUCAUAAAUGUUGUAACAUCAAGAAUGAGAAAAUGAAAUAUGUACCUUAUAUUUGCUUCAAUAACCUGACUCCAAUAAUAGAUACAAACUUCACAGCAUCCAAAGACAACCAUCUCAAUCAUGUUUUAUCGCAGGUAAAAUGUGUUGCUGACCCUCUUAGCGAUACAACAACACAGUCUGAAUAUCAUCUCCAGCAAACAAACCACUAUUAUUGGCGCCUGGACGAUGAUAUCGAAGGAAUUUCUGCUCUGAGCAAUGCAGGCCAUGAAGAACAGCAACUAUGAAGACUUGCCUCAAAGAAAUCGUUCUAAACAUCCAAGAUACAUCUGUCUAACUUAGCUCUACCUAUCCACAUGUCUUGCUCAUAACAUUGUAAAUGAUCGUUCGUAAGCUUCUUAGAAAACAUGUAUCAUUAGCAACCAUCUAUCUAUCAUCAAUCCGUACGUAUUUGCAUAUGUUUUCUUCUGUAUCUACAUAUUUUGAUGCACACUCUUUCAAUUGUUGGCUUGCUCUCGGCCUUUGCGCCAUGGGCGCAACGGGUCA